rnacentral:ncRNA from 1 species
CCGGCGGGGGGGGGAGAAAAAGAAAAAUAAUGGAUAAUAUAGUAAAUACCAUAUUCCAACUAUAUUUAAUUAUUAAUACAAGUGUUGCACGGCUGUCUUCAGUUGAUGUUGCGAAACUGUGGUUCGUUCCAUGGAAUUAACGUAAACCCUUGCUUUAUUUGUAAAUAUUAUAAAGCAGUUCACCUUUAUAUAGGAAAUGAUAAAAGGGAUCAAGACAAGUCAUCAUGGCCUAAAUAUUGUGGGCUAUAGACGUGCCACAUUUUCCUAAACAAAGAGAUGCAAAAAUGUGAAUUUUAGCUAAUCUCAAAAAAUAGGAUAAAAAUAUACAAGGAUUGUAGUCUGAAAUUCGACUGCAUGAAUAAGAAAUUGCUAGUAAUCGUGAAUCACCAUGACACGGUGAAUAUUCCCUCGGAUUGGUACUAACCACUCGUCACAUGCUGAAAGGAGUGCGUGCAAUAAGUUUGCUUUUCUGUUAUAAGUAAGUAGACAUAUAGGUUUAGAUGUUAUAAUAGGAUCCUUCGUAUGCGCGGCUCUGAUUAGUGUUAAGUCGAAAUACGGUUCGUGUAGUGGAAGUUGCACGGGACUUAUCAAUGUU